UCUCCGGGGCUCCUUCCCCCGCCCCUGCCUGCUGCCCUCCCCUGGGCAGGGGGCUGCUCCACCCGAGGGGCACUGUGCUAGCCCAGACCCCAAGCCACAGGACUUUUACACAAGCUGCUGGCUGCUGAGGAAGGAGGCCGCAGAAGACACACAGACUCCCUCCCUCCCGCCAACCAUCUUCAUCCCUGAAGCCAGUCUGAUAGGUGCUGGAGGAGGAAACCGGCGGAGCAGCUUCCCCACUCCUCAGUUGCGCGUCUGGCGAUGGCGAUCAGAGGUCCUGCUGCGCUCUCCGCCGCGCUCUCCCUCCAUUAGCUGUGCCGCGCCGUGCUGCGCCCUCGCUGGUGCCUCUCUCCCGGGUCCCGGGAUCGGCCUCCCCACCAGGCACGACCCCCUCCCCCUGCCCCUCGGCC